GGACAGUUCUCAGGGCAGUGAAAUGUCCACUCCUUGCCCUCAAACUGCAAGCACAGCACCUCGGUGUGGAGAUCUGUCGACACCUAGAUCUCGACAUGCAGCAGGAGGUUGUCCCAUGGAUGGCUAUCGCUC